rnacentral:snoRNA from 1 species
UCUGGCAUUUNAAGUAAACUCUACACCCAAUGUGGGGCUCAAACUCACAAUCCUGAGAUCAAGAGUCACAUGCUCUACCAACUGAGCCAGC